UGUCUGAGAUAUUUUUCAUCCUUAAUCAUCGCUGCAUGAAAUCAGGAAUAACAUGUAACUGAUCUGCUAAAUGAGUCAAAGUGGUGUGGUGCUCCUGGACACUAGAUGAAAGCAGUGUUAUGUGACAGAGCUGAUCUAUUUUAGCAGAUUUUCUGUGUGGAUUAAGACUAUAAAUCUGUUAUAUGGUAUGUUUUGUUCCAUUCAAUAUGCUUUGCUUCUAGACUGUAUUUUUCAGCAGGCUUUCUAUCACAGAUGGUAUCUGAUUCAUUCAGUCUAAUGUGGUUUGUAGCCAUUUGGCUAUCUACUGAGCAUAGAUUUUUUUAAAAAAUAUAUUAUAAUUUGUCGUUUUAUGGGAUUAAUUAGACUCAGACAAUUUUUCUAUUGAAUUAUGUGAUGGCUUUGUGUAACUGUGAUAAGGGCUGAGCUGGCUCCAUAUUAAGAAAAUUUAACUAUCUAACCCUUAGGCGGUAGAAACAAUACAAACUUCUAAGGGCUCCCCACAUGGAUUUAGUGCUUUAGACAUCUGCUCCGAUAGCAGCAAAGCCUGGAUAAGUGACUAAUACUGUGUCAAGGAUUUAGAAACUUUUUUGCUUAAAGUUAGAGCACUUGCAACAAUGAAGCUUCUAAUCUGGUUCUUGUGUUGGAGGUGCUAGAACAAUCUGAAGAAGGGCCGUUCUCAAGCUCAUAACAAAAUUGUUCUACAUGCAAAACCUUGCUUACAAAACCUUGUUGUUUGUGUCCCAGGAGGAUUAUGAUGAGAAAAUAUCUAAUGCAGACAGACGAUACUUCUGCCAUGUGCAGACUGCAAGCAUUUCUGGUGUCUCUUGCAGGAAUAAUGGUUUGUAGAUCUCUUAUUUUUAUUAUUAUUAUUUUUAUUAUUAUUUAAAAAGGUGCAUCCUGAAACAGGGUAUGAAAUAAGAAACGGUGGUAUCAAAAUGGAUAUAGCUGUAUUGCUGUCCCAGGUUGCACCUAAGAACUUAAGUGAAGAAGGCACAUCCUGUCUGAGUAUCAUCCCCAAGUUAAUCAUAUCCUUCUAAUGAAUCUUAAAGUAUUUGCAGUUGACCAGCAGUAUGCUGGCACUGACAACAGCAAAAUUACUGACUGCCUGAAAGAGAAGAAAGCAGAUGAGUCAAAAGAAUUAGAUUAGAUGUAGACUACUAAUGAAAUGGACAGACUCCUUCCUCCUUCCCAUGGCUCUUCCUUACAGCACUUCUGGAGAUGGCAUCUAGAGCAACAAAAAUCGAGCCAACAUAAUAGUACUGUAGAAAUCAUUAAUAUGCACAAGAAAAUUCAACAAAAUGCCUAUUGUAAGGCUGUUGAUUCCAGGGCUGCAAACUACAGUUGUGAAAAUUAAUGCAUUUGCCUUAGUUCAAGCUUGGUAAAUACUAUGAAGAAUUAGCAGUAAUUCCACAGUUGUUACACUUGAAAUUGCAUUAUAGUUCUGAUUUUGUUACCUUCUAUAACAUGUCCAAAACCAUAACAGAUACCAGAUUUUGGCAUUAGAUUUGAGAUUAAGCGUUAUUCCAGUCAGCUUUAAAAUAAAGAAGCUAAAGUGUUUCUGAACUCCUGAUAAAUCCCAAUAUAAUUAAAUAUACUGAGAUAUAAAUCCGUCAUACUAAGUUUAAAAUAUGGGACCAUAUUAUUGUAGUUUACUGUCCUCUUAUGAUUGUAAUUAAUGAUGUAAUUACAAUCAAGGUGGAGCUGAAGUAGUAAUACUUCCAAGAAGCAGUGACCCUGAUGAGCAUUGUUAUUCUAUGGAAAACCUUGUUCACAUAUGGUUGCAUAGAGUUUUGUCUGUCUAACUUUUGACAAUGGGUUUGGCUAAAACUCGAAGAUGCAAGACAGGUUGAAAUAAUACCCUCACUUUUCAGAAAGUUAAAUAAGCAGGAGACUUGACAGCCCACAUCAGGGCUGCCAACUCCAGCAAUGAACCGGAUUUAGAAGUUGUUAUAUGAAGAAUCUGCAGGACAUGAAAUUUAAAUGGUUCCUCUGAAUAAAUACCUUCUAAACUAGGUGUCUACAUGGUUUGUUGAAUUGUUCCCUUUUGCUGUUGUUUUGUUUUAUGCGUUUGCAGUGACUUUCUUCUGCUCCACAGAAAUAGCCUUUUAAGGAAGGUUUCUGUUCAGUGAUUACUACAGCUCCUGCCUCCAAAGAGCCAAAUUGCUAGGUCCAAGUGUGUCUGUGGAAAUCAUGAUUGAUAGACAAGGGAAUAAACUCAAGUCUCCACCCUCAGUUAGGGAUAACAGCUAGUCUUGAAAAGUGAAUUGUUUGUUUUCAGAGACAGGAAGGGAGCAGUGUGCCAAGAUAAACAGCUAGCUAAUGUUUUCUGAAUAUUUGCAAUGCCUAAGUGUUGUAGUACAGCUGGAUUUUGGUAAAUUUUUUAAUUCUUGCUUAAAUACUGAAUUCUAAAUAAAAGGUUAUUAAUGUUAGUACAGAAAUAUAAUAUAAAAAAUAUAUACAUGCAUGAAUGGAAAAGUCAGCAGAGAUGGAGAAUUAUGAGACAAUUAUGAGUUACCGGAGGCAGUUAAUUGUUGGUCAGUUUGCUACAAUAUUUGAAACAAAAGCUCAUUCUCAAGCCCUCUUUGUAGCCUGCAUUUCUCUCUCUUCUAAAUAAGCACACUUUUCUUCUAUGUAGAUUUAUGAAUUGAUCGCAUGCUACUAAAUGUUUUGCUGGAUAAAUUAUUUAGCACAUAGUUUUUUUGUUAGCAUUUUCCCUGCUGUACAACCAGAUGAAUAACACCUGUGAACAAGAUCUGUCUUACUAUCAAUCUGAACUUGAUGAUAUGACUUCUUGUUGAAGUAACUCAUAUUGUUACAUAUGAAAGCAAAUAUGAAUAAAAUUGGUUACCUAUUUGCUCCCAUGAACUUCUCCCAGGGCAGUAGCUCUAUUUGUUAGGUGCAAGGUCUAUCUGCAAGGCUCAGUAAGAAAAAUAUCUGCUGCACAGUUAUCCUUAAAAUAACUUCAGGCAGGAGCUGUUGUGCAGAAGGACGUGACGUUGUGAGGGGAAAAUCAUGGUGGACAGAUGCAGUGAAUUAAACCCCUCCAAGAACCUCAAAAGCCAUUUAACAUUGUCAAAAUACUCAGUCAGAGCACACUCUGAAAGCAUCAGAAGAAGUCAAGUACCACAUAAUAUUCUGUGCUCUUGAGCAAGGCAAGAAUAUACAAAAAAAUGUAUUAUUUUCACCAUUCUGAAGGGACAGAAAGAUCCAUGCUCUCAGCAAUGUUGCAAAGUCUGAUUUAGUUAAACUUGAUAUUAUUUCAGUUGUGACACUCUUAAAUAUGUUUCUGUAUAAACUAUAGUUCUUUUGUUCUGCUGUAUGUAUAUAAGUAUAUGCUCAUACACAGGACUGGUAAUACAACUCAAGUCUAAACUGAAAGACAUAAUUUGAAAAAAACACCCUUGGCCAAUUACUGGUAAUUAUUUUAAACUUACUGUAUAAACUGCAGCAUUGUGUUAUACAUCAUUUCAAAACUUAUGCCUUCAAAUAAUAUUCAAUUCAUAGGAAAGUUAUUUUGUGUUAAAAUAUCCAUGACAUGCUGAUACAGAAGUAUCUGGGCUUUGCAAAGUGCUGACUGGCAAAUCAGGGAUAAUGCAAAGUACAUCCUCAGUUUCUUAGAUUCAUUGGCUUUAUUGUUAGAAAACUAUGUUAAAUCUAAUGCUGGCAGUGUGGCAAUACCUGAAGAAAAAUAAAUAAAUAAAUAAAUGUCCUCGUAAGACAAACUCUGAUAAAUUCUGUUUGACAGUGCAAUAUGAGAUAGGAAGGGAACCAGUCUCACUUCCUCUGGCAACAAUAACCAAGCACGGCACCUGCCAGAGAGUUGUGGCACUAUUAAAAAAGAAGGGAGUAUAGGAUGAAAUAGGUUCUCUGAAUGAAAGGUUAUAUUUGAAUUCUUCACUACAGUGCUGUAUUCAGAUCGGUCUCAUUCCAGAUUUUCAUUAGAGCUUAGUGCUCAGGGCUUGGAGGGAAGUCAGAAUAAAGCAGAGCUUGCUGGUCACAGGCAAGAAGUCCCUUCUGGGGGCAAAGGUAUUGCCAAUACCGCUGGGAAGCAGUGGGCUGGGAAAGAAAGGGAUGAAUGACAACUGGGGCUAUUUGAGAGAGGGUAUUAACAGCACUGGAAGAAAAUUCUCUGUUGGAGGAGAAAAAUAAGAGUGAGAGGAUGUGAAAUCUUUGAGUAAGUAGUGUCAGAAGGAAAACAUAGCCUACUGGGAGUUCUAAGCAGGCAGUAGCACAAGACCACACCAAUGGAUGGACAGAACAUCCCAAUGGAUUUAUUCUCUUACGCCUAAAAUACCAACACAAAGCACCAGAAGAAAUAGAAGCAUUAGUUUUUUUAAAAAAUUAAAUGUAUGUAUCAGUAAGGCAAGUUAAGCUGUAAUAAUCGGGUAAAUGUUGACUUUCUAGAAAAUUAGGGCUCAGAUCUAACAUUUACCCCCAGAUGUUAGUUGUAUCUUCUGUACCACCAAUCAGAACACCAGUGCAAUUUUAUGGCCUAAAAUGAUCCAACAGAGAUUGGGCUUUUGGCAUUUGGGGAGGAUGUCACUUGGAAACCAAUCCUGAAAGUGGCAUGGGAGCCCCAUAAAUGAAUCUUUUAUGGGCAGAGGAGGUGCUACCUCCUGAGAUAUUUAGCAAUAAGGAGAAAUUCAGAGUUAUGCAAAUAGAAGGGAGCAAACAGCCAGUCUGUGGAUCUCAAACUAUGUUUACAGAACCCUGGCAGGCAAAAACAGCAGGAUGACAACCUUGAAAGAAAAAACUUUGCUUUUCUAAGGUCAGAUGAAGCCAUGCUGUUCUUUAUGGCUUUGAAUGAUAUAGGGGGGGGGGGUUUGGUAGAGCCAAAAUUGCCUUGUGGUUUUUAUUAUUUCUUGAUCUGAUUAAAAUAUUCCUGUUCAUAUUGGGGAAUGUUUUCUUUGGCAUGUUCCUCACUCAGCACAGCCCCAGUGAGCCCCGCAUCCAACGGUGUCCUGUGUGGAUGAGCUUCCACCAGUGGGCAUUGGGAACAGCCAAAGUUCAAACAGUCUAAUUUUGUAUGGAUAGCAUUGUUAUGGCUGGUGCUAGGGACCCAGGGGGCCCUCACAAGUCUCCCAGUUCUAUUUUAUGGUAAUGUUUUCUAAAUUAUUAUUAAGGUGAGAAGUUCUUUGUCCAUGCUGGUAACAAAGCACUGACAAUGCACUCUACCCUGCUCCACUUGCCUAAGGAGAUUAGACUUUGAGAGUCCUGGGGAAACCAUGGAGACAAUUUUUAGUCUCCAAAUCUGUGAUGGAAGUGUUUUUCCCUCCAGACCAGUGCAUUCAUUAUUAAAAAUGAAUGGCAAGGGUUCUGCUUGCAUGGAACCAUUACUUUUGGUGUCACAAAUAAAAUCUAAUUCCCAAGUAUAAUUAUUGUUGUGCUUUAGGAUAGUCUGGGAGGCAAAUUGGUGUCCUGUACAGUCAGGUGUGCAAACUUACUGUAUUUUCUGCUCUAUAAAAUUUGAUGGAAGUCCUAAUAUUAUAAAUCUCAUUUUUUCAUUUCUAGGUAACUUAAAAGUAUCCUUGAGUUAUGUAGAAUCUCAUUCUUAGUUUUAAUUCAGAAAUGGACUUUUGGGAAAGAUCUAUCUAUUUGGUUUACCCACUUCUUUAUUAUCUUCAGAGUAUAGAAUAUACAUCCCAUUUUAUAUUUGAAAGUAGUUAUUUUAGGGGCUCAGAUAACUAAAAACCUAUGUGGUUUUAAAUCUAUCUAGGUUGUACUAUAUUUAGACCAUUUUCUUCCUGCAGGUGAAUGACUCUGUGACAGAUUUCAAACUAAAAAUAGUUGCACAAUACCUAUCAUAAUAAAAAAAUUAUCACCGGACCUUGACAUGGAUCUUCUUGAGCCCUGACAGAGCCAUGAGUCUGUAAGAGCAGCAGUAGAUGUCCCAGAGGAACAGUGUCAAGUUCCGCUGGUAUUAAACUCCAUAGGCACAGAAUGUCCUCACUGUGGUAAAAGGGCAGUAAAUUGUGUGCAGGUGAUCUCUGCUGUUGUGUUCCUUGAUGACCCACACCAUCUGCAGAAUCAGGGAGAUUGGCGACAGCAGCGAUAAGUCAGAUGAUUUCAGUGCGUUCCCCCAGCUAAAUGCUUUUCUGCUUCACCUGAGUUAUUGCUUCAUACUUUGAGGUGUUGUUUAGCCUAAAUUCUGUCCCAGUUGUGUUGUUUUUCACACAUUAAAAACAAAAAAAAAAAAAAAGAGUAGAAAAAAUCUUCUCAUAAAGAGUGAUCAGACGUUGGAUAGGCUGCCUAGGGAGGUGGUGGAGUUGCUUCCCCUGGAGGUGUUAAUGAAAUGUGUAGAUGUUGUAUUUAAUGAUAUGGUUUAGUGGGCAAUAUUGGUGGUAGAUGAACAGUUGGACUUGGUUAUCUUGGAGGUCUUUUUCAACCUUUAUGAUUCUAUGAAAUAACCCAUAUGGAUUAAAAGCCUUGUAAACAAAAAUCAAAUUGUUUUUGUCUUAUAAUCAGUGAAAUCUGCCCAUUGGUUUUAGAUGCAGCUUGUUCAUGAAAACUGACCCACAAGCUCUGCUGGAGGCUGGGAGAUUAUUAUAUGAAAAUUUAAUGAGAAGGCUAUUUAACUUUUUUUUUGUUGGCAUCUGUUGGCCACUUGACUAGUUGGCUUAUUCUGCCUGAGUCAUUACAACCUUUGCCUUAUAAAAGUUUCCCCUUUGUAUCCUUGAUACUGUUGUCAUUUUCUUUGUUAUUGAUGGUGGUGCUGUUUUUAAUGAAUGUCCAUUAAAAUGAAUUCUGUAUAAUUUUAGCACAUUUAUAUGCAUGCAAAUAUGUACACGUAGAUGAAAUUUUACUGUAAGAUAAAUGAAAUGUGAAAUUGCAUUGUACAGACAAACAUGGCUCAUUUUUGUAGUGAAAGGAUUGCUUUACACUGUGAAGAGCAUUUGUUUUUCAAAAUAUAGUGAAUUCUCUCAUUUCCAACAGAAGAAUAAGAUAAGUGGGCAGAAUAUAACAGGAUCUUCCUGUAAUGAGAUUGUUUUCCUCUUCCACUCAGACCUAUUAGCGUUAAACCCUACACUGCACCUUUCCAAUUGCCGGACUGAUUGAAUAAUGCAAAAUUUGAUACCAGCACUCUGCAUUGCUUAAUCUCCUUGUUUCUUUUCUAAUUCCUGAAGAUGAGAGAUGCUGUGUUUAUUGUCAAGUUUAUUGCCAAUUUAACCCUGUGAAGAACAACUGGAUGAGGUAUCUGCAGUGUGUGCACAUGGGAAUUACAAUAUCUUCAUAUGCAAUAUUUUCUAUAGAAAUCUGCUGGUAUACCUUGCAAUAUAUCUCCUGCACCCAGAUGGCAGUAACAUGCUCUUUAUAACUGUGGACAGUGCUUUGCCUCAUAGGUUCAGAAUUCUUGAAUAUAUUUAUUAAGAUUAUGCAAGCUACUAAAACACAAACAUCACCCACAAACUAAUAAUUGUAAGGCAGCUUAAUGAUCUUGUAAAGGCUCAGUUAAAUACAGCUGUGUAUUUUCAUCCCAUAGAAGUGGAAUAAUUUGGUGAGUCCAAUUUAUUAUUUUAUGAUUUUUAAGAGGAAGAUCUUUCUAAUGUUUGGGGUUGUAAUCUAUCCUUGUGGGAUUUAGGUUUAAUUAUCUGCUUUUAAACAGGAUUUCUUUUAUCAUCUCCAGUAAUUUAGCUCAUAUCUGCACUAAGCUUGUUUCUAUUUGGUUUUGGAGAUCUCAGUUUUAAUGGGUGCCCAGGUAAGGAAGAAAAUAUUUUUGAACCUCUGAAGUGCUGAAUACCUAUGAAAUAUCACUUGUGUCAUCACCAUCCUGGGAUCUGGGAGGUGUCUACAUAGUUUAUAAUGGAAAUUUGAAGUUCUCAACUGUAUUAUUUAAUGUCUGGGAGAAGAAACCUGGUGAUGACAAAAAUAAAGAGGCUACAUUUUAUUUCCUGCCCAUAAUUUUCGAUUGAGAAGUAGCAGGGAGAUGGCUGUAGCCUUGCCUUUACCAUAGGAAAUGACUUAUCCUUCAGCUGUACUGAAGUCUUGCCCACAGACACCAUGAGGAAGCUUGGUACCUGUCAGGGGAGUGCCAGGAGCUGCAGUGAUGCACAGCCAUCUAUGUUUGCUUUGGCUAAUUGCAACACUCCCAGUCAGAUUGCAAGAAAAUUCCUUGCUGUUGGUUUCUCGUAAUGGGAAUCUAGGUAAUGCAUUGUUUGGCUUGCAAAAUAUUUAGAAAUACUCAAGAGCACUAUGUUGGUAAUGAAAAUAUUUUGUAUUUCCAAUGGGCUGGAUGUUGGAGAUAGGAUCAACUAUUAGUAUUACAUGCACAUAGAUUCUCUGAAAGCGAAAAGACCCUGAGUUGACUACUUUGGCAGCCAGUUUGCCUCUGAGCCCAAUAUUGCAUUGAACAACCCUUUAAAAUUCAGUUGUGCUUGUAUAUUUUAAUCCAUUUUCAGAGCAUUAAGCAACGAUUGUGUUCCCGGCUGGGGACUUUGAUUUGCGAUGGUCAUUUUAGGUAACCAUAUGCUAUAGCUGCUUAAAAAAACUCAUAUAUUGUGCUAGUUCAGUCAGAUACUUCUAAAAUUAAAUAUAGGAUCUUCUUUUUCAUAGGUUUGGUGCUAAAGUCACCAAAAUUACUUUUUAAGCAAUCUGAAUACUAUUGCUUGAAUAUGUGUUUUCCAACCUGUAGCAUAAUGAAGAUUCAAGAAUUUGAAUGGGGUAAUAAGUAGCUUAAAAAUUGUGUAAGAUGGGCAAACAGAUUGUUUGUUCUUGACCAUUAUAGAAAAUCAGCAAUAAGAACACACCUCUGUGUUUCUAGCAAAAAAUAAUGUAACAAGGGUGUUUUACACAUAGGCUGGGAAACUCACACCACUUUAAUUCAUGGCUGAGUUAAUCAGUGCUAAGUGUUAUGGAUAAAGGGAGAAAUGGUCUUUUCCUCUUGCAGGGUCCUUGAGGGCAUGGAGAGACCCUCUUUGACAGGGUGUGAUUGUUUUUUCUUCUCUUCACUAUUGCAGAUAGACAGCUGGGAGAACCAAGGAAGAGCUCUCUUUUGCCUGCUUCGAGGAGAAAGUCAUGAAGUGGAUUAUCUCACCUGAUAAAGAUUCACAAGUUUCAAGGCCACUAUUAAAACAAACAAACAAACAAAAUCAAUGCCAUAAGCAUAAGUAACAAAGGCACAUUUGGAGAGCAGCAGUGAGAUGAUCAAUCAUUGAUGACAAAUCCAAAUUUUCAUGUUAAGAUGUGCAAAAGCACAUUGUAGACAUCUGUUCUGUGUGCAAAAUAAACAGCAGACACUUCGUUUCUCAGCUUUUUUCAGAUGAGUAAUCUGCUGGAAAUUGAGCAGAAUUACAUGGAAUAUAGUCAUUUUAGUAUACAUAAUCUAGAAAAGAAUAGAUCUCUAAACAGAUGAAUUCAUAAAUUAUGUAUUUUUGACAUUUAAAUACAUCAUGGGGACCCUAUAAAUCAAGCUCUCUCUGCAUUUACCAUGCAUGCAAAACACUUUCAGACCUUGCUGAUUUCAGUAGGCCAGAAUCUCUUGUUCCACAGCAUCUAAAACAGAACUGCAAAACUUCUACCUGCUGCACUUCCUUUAGCAUCAUUUAACUUCAGCAUUGUUUCAAGCUUGUGCCCCUCUGCCCAACCUGCUGCUAUGCUGUUAAACCAUUUCACUGUUGAAUUUUAGUUUUCUAAACUAACUUUUCUUGUUAGGUGUCCGUUUUUUAAAUGUUUAAUCUCAGUGUGCAUGUUUAGAGUAGUUAGAACCAUUCUCUCUCUAUAUAUAUAUAUGUGCACUAUAUUUAUAUGUAUUUAUGUAUGUUUAUAUUAAAAACUAUUUUGCAAGUGUUGCAAAUAUAAAUUUAUGUAUCACUGAAGAGAUAAGAAACAUUUAUAUAGAUGCUGCUGUUAUAUACAGGUAUGGAGGUGAGAGGAAGAAUGGCUGUAAGCCCUCCCAUUGCCGUGGUCCUUCUGGUGAUGCCCUCAGCCAUCACAUGCAGAAUCCAUACAAAAGGUAUUAUCCCAGUUUUCUUCCUGGUUCCAGUGAUCUUUGUUAUUAGUGUUUCAGACCACCAAGUGAUGAUUCCACAGUGAUAUUCUGUGCUAGCUGCUGGCUGGAAACAAUAGAUGCAACAUGGGAGCUUAAAGAAGAGAGAUGCUGGGAAGCCAUCAUACUUUUCCUGGCUGUUCCAUAUCACCUUACUCUGUUUGGAGAGAUGGUGGUCCAUCCCUACUAAGUGACAGUUUCUCUUUGCAGUCAAUGUGCCAGACCCCAAGAUACCAGAGGUUGUGCUUGGGGUCCUUCCCUUGCUGAGAAGAUAAAGUGGCAACUCUUAUGAAAUCCCACCCUUGCUUCUCCAGCUGGUAUGUGUCACUGUGGUGUAUUGUUGUACUGUAAGAACAUUCAAAAAGCUUUGCCAAAUUGGCGAUGUCCUCCCUUGUUCACAGCAACUGGGAAGAGGACGCAUGACAAUGUUUCCCCUUGUUGCUGUCUGGUUGCUGGUAGACAUUUAGCCAAAGAGUUAAGGGAGUUUGCAAUAGGUGUUUGCCUGUUCAGAAGGAGACAGAAAAAUUGUUCUGGCUUCAGUUUAACCAGUAGAAACAAAAUACAUUUUUCUUCCUCCACAACUAUGAGAGCUGAAGUCCAGGAAAGGUGUGCCUUUGCAGUAAAUCCACCAACUCGUAUAUCUUUCCUGAUCGUGCUUGGAAAUAUUUAGUAGCUUUGAAAUACUUUGAAAUACUUUUCAUGUUGUUCCAAAA